rnacentral:rRNA from 1 species
UACGAAGGGGGCUAGCGUUGUUCGGAAUUACUGGGCGUAAAGCGCGCGCAGGCGGUUUGAUAAGUCAGAGGUGAAAUCCCCGGGCCUAACCUGGGAAUGGCCUUUGAGACUGUUGAGCUUGAGGACGAGAGAGGUGAGUGGAAUUCCCAGUGUAGAGGUGAAAUUCGUAGAUAUUGGGAAGAACACCGGUGGCGAAGGCGGCUCACUGGCUCGUUUCUGACGCUGAGGCGCGAAAGCGUGGGGAGCAAACAGG